CGAUGGACAGCUGGUUAAUAAUCCAGCACCGAUAUCAGGGAGUGAAGGAGAGACACAAUAAGGGAGUCCAGCCUAUUAGUGGAUUUAGGUGGAUGAACGACAGGCGAAGAGAGCUGGAGUAAAAAGCCCAGCUUGAGCUGAGGGAAGUCAGGAGGCGUAAGCCGGAACUGAGAUGGACCUUGUUGUCAAGAAAAUCUUCUAAGCGAUGAAAUGAUAUUGCCCGUACCGCAAACCGACACUGGUAGAUGAGUAGAGAAUACUAAGACGAACGGGAGAACUAUCGUUAAGGAACUAGGCAAAAUAGCCCCGUAACUUAGGGAGAAGGGGUGCUCAAGAUUCUGAUAAAUAGGGAUCAUGAGUCGCAGUGAAAGGGUUCUAGUGACUGGUUAGCAAAACCACAGGUCUCUGCGAAGUCGAAAGACGAAGUAUAGGGGCUGACGCCUGCCCAGUGCCGGAAGGUUAAGUGGAGGGGUUAGUGUUGAAAGACACGAAGCUCAGAAAUGAAGCCCCGGUGAACGGCGGCCGCAACUAUAACGGUCCUAAGGUAGCGAAAUUCCUUGUCGGGUAAGUUCCGACCCGCACGAACGGCGUAACAACUAGAACGCUGUCUCAACGAUAGACCCGGUGAAAUUGAAAUGGCUGUGAAGAUGCGGCCUACCCGCAGCAGGACAAAAAGACCCCGUGGAGCUUUACUGUAACUUGGCAUUGAGUUUAGGUAUAAUUUGUGUAGGAUAGGUGGGAGACUGAGAAACUAGGGCGCCAGCCUUGGUGGAGUCAGCAGUGAAAUACCACCCUGAUGAUAUUUGGGCUCUAACCCUACGCCGAAAACCGGGUAGGGGACCGUGUCAGGCAGGCAGUUUGACUGGGGCGGUCGCCUCCAAAAAGGUAACGGAGGCGCCCAAAGGUUCCCUCAGACAGAAUGGAAACCUGUCGGAGAGUGUAAAGGCAGAAGGGAGCUUAACUGCAAGACCAACGCGUCGAGCAGAUACGAAAGUAGGGCUUAGUGAUCCCACGAUACAGAGUGGAAUGGUCGUGGCUUACCGGAUAAAAGCUACCCCGGGGAUAACAGGCUGGUGAAGUCCAAGAGUUCACAUCGACGACUUCGCUCGGCACCUCGAUGUCGGCUCAUCGCAUCCUGGGGCUGUACAAGGUCCCAAGGGUCCGGCUGUUCGCCGGUUAAAGCGGUACGCGAGCUGGGUUCAGACCGUCGUGAGACAGGUCGGUCUCUAUCCGCUGUGGGCGAAAGAGAAUUGAGAAGGGCUGCCCCUAGUACGAGAGGACCGGGGUGGACAAACCUCUGGUGUGUCAGUUGUAAUGCCAAUUGCAAAGCUGAGUAGCCACGUUGGGGAGAGAUAACCGCUGAAAGCAUCUAAGUGGGAAACUCGCUUCAAGAUAAGUUCUCUUAUCAGGAAUGAAUAAGAUCGCACGGAGACUACGUGCUAGAUAGGCUGGAGGUGAGAGUUCAGUGAUGGAUUGAGCAAACCAGUACUAAUGAUCGAAGGCUUGAGACG
rnacentral:rRNA from 1 species